rnacentral:rRNA from 1 species
GCACUUUAAGCAGUGAAGAAGACUCCAUGGUUAAUACCCAUGGACGAUGACAUUAGCUGCAGAAUAAGCACCGGCUAACUCUGUGCCAGCAGCCGCGGUAAUACAGAGGGUGCAAGCGUUAAUCGGAAUUACUGGGCGUAAAGCGAGCGUAGGUGGCUUGAUAAGUCAGAUGUGAAAGCCCCGGGCUUAACCUGGGAACGGCAUCUGAUACUGUUAGGCUAGAGUAGGUGAGAGGAAGGUAGAAUUCCGGGUGUAGCGGUGAAAUGCGUAGAGAUCUGGAGGAAUACCGAUGGCGAAGGCAGCCUUCUGGCAUCAUACUGACACUGAGGUUCGAAAGCGUGGGUAGCAAACAGGAUUAGAUACCCUGGUAGUCCACGCCGUAAACGAUGUCUACUAGUCGUUGG